UUUGUCUUUUUUUCCCUCUACAUAACCAGAACUAUGCUCUCUUUGCUUGGAUAGAUUCUUGUCUUGUUGCUGCAGUAGUUGCAGAAUAGUGCAGUUAACAUAUUUUUCUAAGCAAAACAUAUUUCAAAAAGUCAAGAGCAAAAAUGUUAUAGCAGAGAAACAUAGGAUGAGCAAUUAAGCAGGAACUUCAUCAAAAAUUAAAUUGAACCAAAACAAAAGAUAUUUUUAUAUUCAAACAAUCCUAAUUUAUUUUCUUCAAUAUAAAUAACAAGUAGCAGAAAGUGAGAGGGGGAGAUUUUUCAUUUUUGAUUUUCAAAGCAAAGAGAAUUUGAAGAAAAACUGAUAUCAUUUUUUUUCAAACCACCAAACCCAAAGAAAUUUCUAACUAAAUCUGAGAUAAUAUUUUCUCAAUCAGUCAGAAGCUCAAAUUUAUCUCCCAGAUUUAAUCCCAAAUACAAAAAUUUAUUAAGCAACUAUAGCAAUAUUCAAAUUCUAAACAUUGCAGCAACAUUUUUUAACAACACGAACAUAAACUAGCAAAUACAGAGAAAGGAAGAUCCAAACAGAAAACAAGAUUUAGAGGGGGGAAAUUUCUUACCUGAAUCUAGGAGUAAAGUUUACCAUUGUAAGUGGAAGUUAGCUCCUGGAGUUAUUUAGUUUAGUUCAUCAUUGUUUAGAAGUCUUGCUCUGAUUCUGUAACAUCGGAGUUCAAAAUGUUUGUUUGCUUAUCAUGUUUCAACAAGAGUUUAAUUGCUUUAUUCUCUUUAUGCUGAAGUUGUUGAGAGUUGAAUAUGAUAACUCGUCAUUUUGAAAACAAUUUAUUAUAAUUUUGAAGUUGAGACUAAA